rnacentral:rRNA from 1 species
UACGUAGGUGGCAAGCGCUGUCCGGAUUUAUUGGGUUUAAAGGGUGCGUAGGCGGUCUUUUAAGUCAGUGCUGAAAUACUCCAGCUUAACUGGAGGGGUGGCAUUGAUACUGGGAGACUUGAGUGUAGUCGAGGUAGGCGGAAUUGACGGUGUAGCGGUGAAAUGCUUAGAUAUCGUCAAGAACACCGAUAGUGAAGACAGCUUACUAGGCUACAACUGACGCUGAGGCACGAAAGUGUGGGGAUCAAACGGG